rnacentral:rRNA from 1 species
UAGGGAAUCUUCCACAAUGGACGCAAGUCUGAUGGAGCAACGCCGCGUGAGUGAAGAAGGGUUUCGGCUCGUAAAGCUCUGUUGGUAGUGAAGAAAGAUAGAGGUAGUAACUGGCCUUUAUUUGACGGUAAUUACUUAGAAAGUCACGGCUAACUACGUGCCAGCAGCCGCGGUAAUACGUAGGUGGCAAGCGUUGUCCGGAUUUAUUGGGCGUAAAGCGAGUGCAGGCGGUUCAAUAAGUCUGAUGUGAAAGCCCUCGGCUCAACCGGAGAAUUGCAUCAGAAACUGUUGAACUUGAGUGCAGAAGAGGAGAGUGGAACUCCAUGUGUAGCAGUGGAAUGCGUAGAUAUAUGGAAGAACACCAGUGGCGAAGGCGGCUCUCUGGUCUGCAACUGACGCUGAGGCUCGAAAGCAUGGGUAGCGAACAGGAUUAGAUACCCUGGUAGUCCAUGCCGUAAACGAUGAGUGCUAAGUGUUGGGAGGUUUCCGCCUCUCAGUGCUGCAGCUAACGCAUUAAGCACUCCGCCUGGGGAGUACGACCGCAAGGUUG